UUUUCUGCUCAGGAUCCAUCUGUACAAAAUGCUCUUGAAUGUCUUCGGAACAGCAUCCCACAAGUGGACAGCCUGUAUACAAAGGCUCUCCUUGCUUAUGUAUUCACCUUGGCUGGAGACUAUGAGACCAGAGAAAUUCUUCUAGAGGAACUGCAUGGCCAAGCCGUGAAAACAGGAGGAGAAACUUAUUGGCCUGCAAAUCCAGAUAAUCUUGGCGAAAAGUCAACAUGGUCUGAGCCUAAUUCCAAUGAGGUGGAACUGGCAUCCUAUGUGGCCCUGGCACAUCUUUCUUCAGACACUGUUUCGGCAAAGGAUAUCAAUGAGGCUUCCUGUAUUUCU